rnacentral:rRNA from 1 species
CACGCUGUAAACGAUGGGUACUAGGUGUUGGAGGUAUCGACACUUUCAGUGCCGGAGCAAACGCAUUAAGUACCCCGCCUGGGGAGUACGGUCGCAAGACUGAAACUCAAAGGAAUUGACGGGGGCCCGCACAAGCGGUGGAGCAUGUGGUUUAAUUCGACGCAACGCGAAGAACCUUACCAGGGCUUGACAUCCCCUGCAAGUCGUAGAGAUACGAUGUUCUCAUUUGAGACAGGGAGACAGGUGG